rnacentral:snRNA from 7 species
AUACUUACCUGGACGGGGUCUAUGCUGAUCAUGAAGAGGCAUGGCCUAGGCUAGCGGCCUCCAUUGCACAUGGGAGGAGCGCUCGCUUACCAUCUCCCCAAGUGGGAGAGUGGACGUCAAAAUUUGUGGUAGAGGGGGUACGCGUUCGCGCGGCCUCUAC